UCUCACCAGACCUGAAGCCCAUAGAGAAUCUAUGGGGUAUUGUCAAGAGGAAAAUGAGAAACAAGAGACCAAAAAAUGCAGAUGAAGCUGAAGGCCACUGUCAAAGAAGCCUGGGUUUCCAUACCACCUCAGCAGUGCCACAGACUGAUCACCUCAAUGCCACACCACAUUGAGGCUGUAAUUAAAGCAAAAGGAGCCCCUAAUAUUCUGUUACCCCUUCUAAUUUGUUGAGAUAGUGAAUUGGUGGGUUUUUGUUAAAUGUGAGCCAAAAUCAUCCCAAUUUAAAGAACCAAGGACUUUAAUUAAAUCCACACAGACUGAAGUAGUUUAUUUAAAACACGAGUUUCAAAAUUUAAGUUAAAUUACUGAACUGAACUUUCCCACAACAUUCUAAUUUAUUAGGACGCACCUCAAUGCAAGAUGAUAUGUAGACAUCGCCUUACAUUAUAUACUAUAUAUUCGUUACGAAAACGCCUCAAAUUAGGAUAAUGGAUAAAAAAAAAAAAUUUAUAUCACCUAUUAUAGGACUAUAAUUUCUUAACCAUUCUUUCAGUAACCAAGGGCAUAAGGCAGCAAAAAUGAGAAUGCAUGUUAGUAGUUGUAAGCAAAAGCACUAAUGGAUGUGUGCAACACAAUAAAAUGCAAGCACACUAAAUAAGGACAACAAAGUGUUUAUUUAUAAAUUCACAGUUUCUAAUGGCACUACACUGCUGUAGGUACAGUUGUUCCUGGAAAAAGAAAAGAAAAUACUGUGCAGCUCAUCCUAAGAUGAUCAGAUUUCAUUUGGGCGCCACCUAGAAGUUUAAUAAAUCACGUGUUGACCACUAGUGGACGCCAUACUAAGAAAAGCUUGGGGACAAAAGCACUUAUGCCAAGCGUGGUGUAAAAAACAAAAGGCAUGUGUAGUUCUCCAAAGUGCAAGGGAGAGCCUGCGCAGAGGUCUCUAUUCACUGGGGCAAUUCAUCUCCAAAUAUUACUCAAACACACCAACUUGAGAAUACAUCCAUACAUAUACACAAGUUCCACAAAUAAUCAAUUAACAUUCAAAAAUAUGAAGGUAGUAAAAUGAAUGAUGAAAGAGGCCGUCGCCCCUGAAUGUAGAACAUGUCUCAUGGAUAUCACAGAGAUGGUCCACUGCACCACCCCAAUAUUUCCCUUUUAUUUAAAUCACAAUGUCAAUACACAUGCUUUAUUCACCUACAGCCCACAGUCAGAUAAAAGGUCAAUGACGGGAUCAUGUAAAUGAAAAAUGACAGCCAUAGAUGACACAAAGUACACAGACCAUCUGUGGAAAAACUGCACUGGGGGUUUCAAAUGGUACAGGUGCAUUAAAAACAUCUUAAAACUAAAUGGCCAACAUAAACACAAACAUCAAAAUUUAUAAAGCGUGUGUUAAGAGGGACGUGGAGUGUGAAAAGUUAAAUAAGAAAUAAGUACAUUGUACAUUGUACAUGCAUACAAUCAUGCAUUCUUUAAAUUCACCCCAAUCCAGUAAAACACAAAGCUCAUCAGAACAGAUCCAGUGAGGAAUAACAAAUCACAUCCAGCUUCCGAAUCACAGAGGUCCUUUUAAAAUUUGGAAGGACAUCACAUUAAAAGCAGUAGUAUUUAUUUGGUAUUUAUUCUUUUCUGAACAGAAGUGGACAUCUUAAAUAAUAAAGUGACUCAGAAACUCCACAAAAACUAAACGGAAAACUGAGCAAACGAUAAAGAACAGAAAGAUGAGUUUGUGUAACAGUACCACGUGUCUGUAUCACACAUAGGAUGAAUCUUGAGGGAUCUACAUAUGGUUGGAAGGCCAAUGCAGCUUGUUUGUGACAUGACCGUGAGCUCAUAGAGCCCAGGUCACAUUUAAAUAAAUAAAUACAUAAAUAAUGGCCGCUAAAAUAUAAGCACAAACUCCCGUGUACAUAAAGUGUGUAUGUGUUUUGGAAUGACAAACUGGCCUUGCUCAAUGUUGCCUGUGCUUAACACACAACGUCACCAUACUUGAAAACUCAACAUGUGUAAAUAGCAACGUGUGCUUGUAUGUAUAUGCAUGUGUGUUCAGGCCCAGCCUGGACUUGUUGGUCAAACCGCAGUGAACUUCAGAAAAGAAAACAGAUGUUCCCGACCAUAAUCAGGCUUUAAAAGACUCAAGUAAGAAAGAGAAAAUAAAGACUGUAUUAAAAACACAAGACUGGAUCUGUUCUUCAUUCUGCUCUGUUCGCUGGAAUGAAUCCAUGUGCUUUGUGACAUCACUGGUCCCACAAACCAAUCACGGUAAAUGACUGUAGUGUUACACAUUCACAUGUACAAGACAAACACUAAUUAAAGAGUACAAGAUGAAGGGAAAUGAAGACUUGGGGGUCAUGUUAUCAAAGAAGGUACGAAGGGUUGGAGACAUAAUGGUCAUCAUGGCAGACUAUAGGAGCAACGUGUUGGUUUUUGGAGGAGGGGCUGCCUGUAUCGCGGACAGUUCACAACACAUUCUGGCCAUAGUGAUAUUGCACCACCGGUUGGCCACAUUUUUUUAUAACAACAAACCUCAAGUCUUAUUUUUUCCAUGUUCAUCAGUCCCCAGAAUGAAAAUAAAAAAAUCUUAAAGGGAAUAAUGAAAGGAUCCUUCGGGUGGUCGUUUGUUGU